rnacentral:rRNA from 1 species
GUGUCAGCAGCCGCGGUAAUACAGAGGGUGCAAGCGUUGUUCGGAAUUACUGGGCGUAAAGCGCGUGUAGGUGGCAAGGUAAGUCGGAUGUGAAAUCCCUUGGCUUAACCAAGGAAGUGCAUUCGAUACUGCCUCGCUUGAGUACCAGAGGGGAUGGCGGAAUUCCCGGUGUAGAGGUGAAAUUCGUAGAUAUCGGGAGGAACACCUGUGGCGAAGGCGGCCAUCUGGACGGUCACUGACACUGAGACGCGAAAGCGUGGGUAGCAAACAGGAUUAGAUACCCUGGUAGUCCACGCUGUAAACGAUGAGUGCUAGACGUCAUGGGUAUUGACCCCUGUGGUGUCGAAGUUAACACGUUAAGCACUCCGCCUGGGGAGUACGGUCGCAAGAUUAAA